rnacentral:misc_RNA from 1 species
GUAACAAAUGUUGUAGUGAUACAUUAGUACAGGUUUCAAUCAAGAUAAAGCUACUAGGUUUCUGUGCCUUUGUCUGAAUCCAUUUCCGAACUUUCAUGCUCUGUAUAAUAAGUGCAAUUUUUAAUUAAUAAAAUGGUUUUAUCGGUACAUGUUUAUGAAAUCAGGUUUAUUUCUUGUUUAUUAGAUAUUGCUACUGCUUGAUAAUUAUAUAUGUGGUUCUUUU